rnacentral:rRNA from 1 species
GACGUAGGAUGCAAGCGUUGUCCGGAUUUAUUGGGCGUAAAGAGUUCGUAGGCGGUUCGUUAAGUCUGAUGUUAAAUAUCGGGGCUCAACCUCGGGAGUGCAUUGGAUACUGGCGGACUGGAGUGUGGUAGAGGUUAGUGGAAUUCCCAGUGUAGCGGUGAAAUGCGUAGAUAUUGGGAAGAACACCAGUGGCGUAGGCGACUAACUGGGCCAUAACUGACGCUGAGGAACGAAAGCCAGGGGAGCGAAUGGG